CUUGCUGCACAAGGGCUACAGGGAUGUGCUGAAGUGGCAUGGGAGGGUGGAAAUGGGGCUGUCCCAUUUUAGUGAUACUAGGUUAUCUGUAAAACUGCAUGCUUUAAUUUUUUCUUAAAAAAUAGAAAUAGUGAUUUGAUGUCUGAGGCAUAGAAAAGAAAUGGUGUGUUUCUGGACCUAGGGAUUAGCAGUGAGAAAUCAGAUAUGACCAGACCAAACCUCAGCUGAGGUUUCAGGUUUAUGUUUAUGUGAUCCAAGAGACACCAGCAACAUGAGGCUGCCCUUGCAUGCACUUUGCACAGGAAAGAUCACCCUGGGUCUCUGAAAUCCCCACGGAGCAGCUCCUCUGCCGGGCUGGGUUUGGGUUGGCUCCCUGUGUCUGGCCAGCCAGCCGGAGGAGCCAGGACGUGUAACAGCCUGUCGCCAUCCCUACAGAACAGCUCUCAACCUUCAGAGGCCAAAAACCAGUGCAAAAGGAGCCUCUGCCAUCACCCUUGCUGUGUCCCUCCACCAGGCAGCCUGGGCUCCAGUUCCACCACACUAAAACCAUCGAGGCAGUGCCCAGCUGUCCCUGGGCUCUCCCACCUGCGAGAGCACUGGUGCCAGCCCCAGGACACAGAGAACAACUCUCAGUCUGCAAAAGCAAAGAAAGAACUGCACACUGAGAGAAAGUUCUGCUUAGUUUACAGGUUGCUUUUAUUUACAAAUAUACUGAAGUGUAAUCUCUCUCUUA